rnacentral:rRNA from 1 species
UACGGGGGGGGGCAAGCGUUGUUCGGAAUUACUGGGCGUAAAGGGCUCGUAGGCGGCCAACUAAGUCAGACGUGAAAUCCCUCGGCUUAACCGGGGAACUGCGUCUGAUACUGGAUGGCUUGAGUUCGGGAGAGGGAGUGCGGAAUUCCAGGUGUAGCGGUGAAAUGCGUAGAUAGUUGGGAGGAACACCAGUGGCGAAGGCGGCUCACUGGACCGGUACUGACGCUGAGGCGCGAAAGCGUGGGGAGCAAACGGG